rnacentral:rRNA from 1 species
GUAGGUGGCAAGCGUUGUCCGGAAUUAUUGGGCGUAAAGCGCGCGCAGGCGGUCUUUAAGUCUGAUGUGAAAGCCCACGGCUCAACCGUGGAGGGUCAUUGGAAACUGGAGAACUUGAGUACAGAAGAGGAAAGCGGAAUUCCACGUGUAGCGGUGAAAUGCGUAGAGAUGUGGAGGAACACCAGUGGCGAAGGCGGCUUUCUGGUCUGUAACUGACGCUGAGGCGCGAAAGCGUGGGGAGCAAACAGGAUUAGAUACCCUGGUAGUCCACGCCGUAAACGAUGAGUGCUAAGUGUUAGGGGGUUUCCGCCCCCCUUAGUGCUGCAGCUAACGCAUUAAGCACUCCGCCUGGGAGUACGGCCGCAAGGCUG